rnacentral:rRNA from 2 species
UUAAGCGACUAAGCGUACACGGUGGAUGCCCUGGCAGUCAGAGGCGAUGAAGGACGUGCUAAUCUGCGAAAAGCGUCGGUAAGGUGAUAUGAACCGUUAUAACCGGCGAUGUCCGAAUGGGGAAACCCAGUGUGAUUCGUCACACUAUCGUUAACUGAAUACAUAGGUUAACGAGGCGAACCGGGGGAACUGAAACAUCUAAGUACCCCGAGGAAAAGAAAUCAACCGAGAUUCCCCCAGUAGCGGCGAGCGAACGGGGAGCAGCCCAGAGUCUGAAUCAGCUUGUGUGUUAGUGGAACGGUCUGGAAAGUCCGACGGUACAGGGUGAUAGUCCCGUACACCAAAAUGCACAGGCUGUGAACUCGAAGAGUAGGGCGGGACACGUGGUAUCCUGUCUGAAUAUGGGGGGACCAUCCUCCAAGGCUAAAUACUCCUGACUGACCGAUAGUGAACCAGUACCGUGAGGGAAAGGCGAAAAGAACCCCGGCGAGGGGAGUGAAAAAGAACCUGAAACCGUGUACGUACAAGCAGUGGGAGCACCUUCGGGUGUGACUGCGUACCUUUUGUAUAAUGGGUCAGCGACUUAUAUUCUGUAGCAAGGUUAACCGUAUAGGGGAGCCGCAGGGAAACCGAGUCUUAACUGGGCGUUAAGUUGCAGGGUAUAGACCCGAAACCCGGUGAUCUAGCCAUGGGCAGGUUGAAGGUUGGGUAACACUAACUGGAGGACCGAACCGACUAAUGUUGAAAAAUUAGCGGAUGACUUGUGGCUGGGGGUGAAAGGCCAAUCAAACCGGGAGAUAGCUGGUUCUCCCCGAAAGCUAUUUAGGUAGCGCCUCGUGAAUUCAUCUUCGGGGGUAGAGCACUGUUUCGGCUAGGGGGUCAUCCCGACUUACCAACCCGAUGCAAACUACGAAUACCGAAGAAUGUUAUCACGGGAGACACACGGCGGGUGCUAACGUCCGUCGUGAAGAGGGAAACAACCCAGACCGCCAGCUAAGGUCCCAAAGUCAUGGUUAAGUGGGAAACGAUGUGGGAAGGCACAGACAGCCAGGAUGUUGGCUUAGAAGCAGCCAUCAUUUAAAGAAAGCGUAAUAGCUCACUGGUCGAGUCGGCCUGCGCGGAAGAUGUAACGGGGCUAAACCAUGCACCGAAGCUGCGGCAGCGACACUAUGUGUUGUUGGGUAGGGGAGCGUUCUGUAAGCCUGCGAAGGUGUGCUGUGAGGCAUGCUGGAGGUAUCAGAAGUGCGAAUGCUGACAUAAGUAACGAUAAAGCGGGUGAAAAGCCCGCUCGCCGGAAGACCAAGGGUUCCUGUCCAACGUUAAUCGGGGCAGGGUGAGUCGACCCCUAAGGCGAGGCCGAAAGGCGUAGUCGAUGGGAAACAGGUUAAUAUUCCUGUACUUGGUGUUACUGCGAAGGGGGGACGGAGAAGGCUAUGUUAGCCGGGCGACGGUUGUCCCGGUUUAAGCAUGUAGGCUGGUUGUCCAGGCAAAUCCGGAUAAUCAAGGCUGAGGUGUGAUGACGAGGCACUACGGUGCUGAAGUAACAAAUGCCCUGCUUCCAGGAAAAGCCUCUAAGCAUCAGGUAACAUCAAAUCGUACCCCAAACCGACACAGGUGGUCAGGUAGAGAAUACCAAGGCGCUUGAGAGAACUCGGGUGAAGGAACUAGGCAAAAUGGUGCCGUAACUUCGGGAGAAGGCACGCUGGUGUGUAGGUGAAGUCCCUGCGGAUGGAGCUGAGACCAGUCGAAGAUACCAGCUGGCUGCAACUGUUUAUUAAAAACACAGCACUGUGCAAACACGAAAGUGGACGUAUACGGUGUGACGCCUGCCCGGUGCCGGAAGGUUAAUUGAUGGGGUUAUCCGUAAGGAGAAGCUCUUGAUCGAAGCCCCGGUAAACGGCGGCCGUAACUAUAACGGUCCUAAGGUAGCGAAAUUCCUUGUCGGGU